rnacentral:rRNA from 1 species
CAUGCCGCGUGCAGGAAGACAGCCCUCUGGGUCGUAAACUGCUUUUAUUCGGGAAUAAACCUAUUUACGUGUAAAUAGCUGAAUGUACCGAAGGAAUAAGGAUCGGCUAACUCCGUGCCAGCAGCCGCGGUAAUACGGAGGAUCCAAGCGUUAUCCGGAUUUAUUGGGUUUAAAGGGUGCGUAGGCGGCUUAUUAAGUCAGGGGUGAAAGACGGUGGCUCAACCAUCGCAGUGCCUUUGAUACUGAUGAGCUUGAAUGAACUAGAGGUAGGCGGAAUGUGACAAGUAGCGGUGAAAUGCAUAGAUAUGUCACAGAACACCGAUUGCGAAGGCAGCUUACUAUGGUUUUAUUGACGCUGAGGCACGAAAGCGUGGGGAUCAAACAGGAUUAGAUACCCUGGUAGUCCACGCCCUAAACGAUGAAUACUCGCUGUUAGCGAUAUACAGUUAGCGGCUAAGCGAAAGCGUUAAGUAUUCCACCUGGGGAGUACGCCCGCAAGGGUGAAACU